rnacentral:rRNA from 1 species
UACGGAGGGUGCGAGCGUUGUCCGGAAUCACUGGGCGUAAAGGGCGCGUAGGCGGCGCGGGAAGUCAUCGGUGAAAGUUCAGGGCUCAACUCUGAAUCGGCCGGUGAUACUCUCGUGCUCGAGCACUGUAGAGGCAGGUGGAAUUCCGGGUGUAGCGGUGGAAUGCGUAGAGAUCCGGAAGAACACCGGUGGCGAAGGCGGCCUGCUGGGCAGUAGCUGACGCUGAUGCGCGACAGCGUGGGGAGCAAACAG